rnacentral:lncRNA from 1 species
AAAGAAGAGGAAGAGACAUUAGGGAUGUGAGUGCAUAAAGAAAAGGCCACGUGAGGACACAGCAAGAAAGUGGUCAUCUGCAAGCGCAAAAGACAGGCCUCAGAAGAACCCAACCCUAUUGACACUAUGAUCUUGGACAUCCAGCCUCCAGAACUCCUAGGAGCAGAGAAGAAACCAUAUUUACUCAUCAUCAUCCGUUAACAAACCAUCUGUAUGCCUAAUAUUGAUGCUGUCUUUCCCUAGUGUACUGGACAACCUAAGACAGGGAAAUAAAGAUAAAGUUUGGAUUGAAGAGUGAGGAGCCAAAAUAAUGCAGCUUCACAUCUCCUUAAUGGACAGAAGACUACACUGUUUUUGCUGCACCCAGAGAUAAAAUUAUUGGUUUUGGAGUACCUUCACUGAUGCCAGGGGUGUCAUCUUUACCUUCCAUCACAUAAUAUAUAUAAAGAGAAUUUUUCUUAGCUUUAAAUGAGUUGAUAAGAGGACAAGAAGAAAGUCAAGGACUCCAUUUCCAGGAUUAAAAGCGGUUUUUUCCUUUGUCUUCCAAAUCCUAGCAGUAGAAGCAUUUGAGUUCUGCAGAAAUUACUGAAGUGGUUCAAGUGUGGGCAGUCAGGACACUCAGCCCACCAUACUCAACCCCAACUCAACCUCAACUCUCAGUACGGCAGAGAGACGGAGAACUCAGAGCUAUAACUUUCAGGAAUUCUCAAAACCUCAGACAAAAUGCAUCUUUGUUUUACCACCUGUUAAAGUAUAUCCUCAUCUGCCUCAGUGCACAUAAGUAUACAACACUGCAGAUUGUGUUUAACUUCAUUUGCAAUUAAUUUAACGCAUUUUGUAUCCAACAUUUCUACUAGGAAAUAGUAUUAGUCUAUCCCCAAACUAAAAUUCACUGCAAAAAUGUAAUUCACUCAAGAAAAAUAAUGAUAAUUCUUCAAACACCUUGAGAUGUCAUUCAACAAUCAUACCCAAUGGGUAAAAUUUAGAGUUCAACAUUUAGCUUGCAUUUCUUUCUAACCAAACAUCUCAAGUUCAAAAAAUAAAGCAGAUUGUUUUG